GUUGUGGGGUCCCUGCUGGGAGUGGUAAGAGACCCACAGAAAGGCUGGGUGGAGAGGACAAAGCCCCGCACCACUGCUCUCUCAGGAAAGAAGAGGGUGGAGGUGCCGGAUAUACUCAUAUCCGCCUGGCCUCACCUUCUGCACACAACUGCAGGGACAGAACCUGGAUUCCCACCUUAGGCUCCUGGCAAAGGACAAGGGAAGUUCUGGAUUUGCAAGAAGGUCCUUCCUGCUGCCACACUCCCAGACGAGAAGAGAUGCAGCCCCCAACAGAACACCGUUCCGCUCGCUGGGAACCCACGUCCAUGCCUGUCUCAGGCAAUCACACCAACCA